CAGUAAAGUUUAUUGCUUACAUUGUAUCUUGAAAAGCUUUAUGUAAUAACAAUACAUAGAAAGUGACGUAAACACUAUGUAUAAAUUCCAACAUGCCGUCAGACGCUUGAAUAAUAUAAUUUGGAUCAUGGAAAACCAGAAAUCUUAUUCAAAUGCACACAAGAUGAUACUAAAUAACCAUAAGUUAUAUUUGACAAUAAGCAAUACAUUAUGAUAACUAUUAGCGAUGCAAAAUUCAGGGGUUUUUGUUAUAUUAUUUAACUUAUUCCCGAGUAUUUGGUUUUUUCCAUAGUUAUAUCUAGUAGAUGUCAAUCCCAAAAUGAGGCUGCUCAUCAAACAGAACAACCCGUUGGUGCAUCACGACAUUCAACCAAGAAUUUACGAUCUUCGCCUUGUUCAGUGGAAUUGAAAAGUUUAGCAUUUUUGUUUGUUUAAAGGCUAUAGCUUUUAUUAGAUUUUUAGGUAAAUUAGGGUCCUUCGUGUGUACCGGCUAUGAUGUAGAAGGGUUAAAAUGGCCCAGCUAUUACUAUAGGGUAUAAUAAUAGUAGUUUACUACACUUCUUUAAUGUUCCUUUUGGUAAUCAAAUAUUCGAAUAUUCAAAUAUUGGAUCGAAAGAUUUACUGAAUAUUCGAAUAUCAAUUUUUCCAUUCGUUUGCAUCCUAUUUAACUUUAUGUAAUUUGACAACUUUAAACUUUUUCAUGAAAUAAUUAAAGACAAUUCUUCAAAAAGUUAAUUAAAACUACACUUAUUACGCCCUAUUGUGUUUUAUCUUCCAAAAAUCUUAAGUUGAUACUUAAGUUUUGAUUACUUUCUAUUAAGGGAACUGAAGCCUCUUAAAUUUCAGGACAUUCUGCUGGACAAUUUGAUGGUUGUCUAGUAAGCAAGGGAGAGAGCAGUCCUCAGUCAAUUUUGGUUUGCAAAGAUAGCUUUUAAUUAAAUGUCAGCGUGCACUCAGGGCUGGGACACACUUUCAACGACAUCAUUUCCGAAAUGAAGUUACGUGCGCAAACAAAUUGGCACAUUUUCUAAAUUAAAUGACUUUUCACUCCAAUUUUAGGCACAUAAUAAAAAGAAAACUGUUUGUUUCAUUUUAAGAUAGCAUUAUAUUAACACCAUAAGCGACUAUUUUACUAGUGGCUUGGCCACCCAUGAAUUUAUCUUUUGGUGCUCACUCGUGAACUAUAUAACAAUCUUUCACUGAAACAAACAAUUGACCUUACGACAGCGGCUUCUAAGCCACGCACCCUGAUAUCAAGGGAGCGAACUCUGUCUGUGUCCGUCAAACAAACGAGGAAGUAAUGGCGUCUCGCGUCGUUUCGCUUUCCGAUAUUCCUGACAAAUUAUCAUAAAUGUCACAUAACAAUGCGAAAAAAAUAGAAGUCAAAGGAAUUUGUAACUGGCUGCUACAUCGGGAGGCUCAAUAUAUCUUUAGAAAAUGACGAUAUCUAACAUUUACGGGGUGAAAUCUAUCCAAGUCAGAGAAAAUCGGAUAGCCGCCAUGUUGUCAACAUUGACAUUGAUACAAAGGAAAAGCGUGUGUGUGACGCAUACUGUAAAUGCAAACAAGGAAAUUGUGGAACAUGUUCACACACUCUGGCUGUAAAAGUAGACCUGGGAGGAAAAUUGCCCCCGGUGUGGGGCUCGAACUCACAACCACCAGAACACUAGCCCGGCGCUCUAACCAACUAAGCUGACCGGGCAGCUGGUUCUAACCCACACACACUACCCUCCCCCCAUUUACCGGUUAAGGCUGGUGGAGGGUCUCCUGCUAUUUACCGUUGACACCAUUAAAGUAUUUUGAUUGAUGGAGAUAAGGAAGUCCCCUUAUUAUUGUCUUCAACAAGCCUACCGCAACAGGGGACCUAGCAUAAGACCGGAAACCGCCCCCCCCCUCACACACACACAUGAUAUUUGCCAGUCCAGGCAAUGUCAACUGCAAGAGAAAACCAGUGAUGACAAGUUUUACAAAUAAUCGGAAAGUGUGGUCUUUUGAAGAGAGUUCUUGAAGUUGUUCAGCAUGUUGUUUUGAUGGAUUCUUGGAAGGAUGUACCUCUAUGAUGUUAGCUUCAGUUCUGGAUUAUAACACCAGUUGUUGCAUAUAUAUCUUCUCUAUAUAUAUGGUGACUCUGGUCAAAUUUAUUAUUGAUCCAUCCUGCUUAAAAAUUAUGAAAACCUUUACAGAUAUUGAGCAUAUCAAGAGGCGAAACAAAUACAGCAUGGGCAGCGGUUGGCCGGUUGCUAUUUUAGUAAUGCUUGUCUGCUUUCUAAAUUAUCAAGAAUAUUUGACUGUCAGAGUUUGUAGACUUUUAAUACACAUAUGCAUUUUUGCAAGAUUAGGCGCACGAGCUUUCACACUGCAUGAAAUUCUAAAAAAUAUUCAGAUCCAGUCAACACAUGUACCGUAUUUUCUCGACUAUAAGGCGAUUCGCUUAUAAGACGGCCCCCUAACUUUGCCCAUGAAAUCUGGUGCUUUUUGUUUCGACUCGCUUAUAAGACGGGGUCAAUUUUUAAGCAAAUCUAAAAUGCUAAAAUUCUUCCUAAUGUGUGAAAAUGUUCAAGCUCAACAGACAAUUAUCAACUUUCGCGGUAACUGUUUUUGUUUUACUCAAAGAAAAUGGCGGUCAACUGUGAGCUCUCUAUUUGGAGGUAGGUUAAAAAUGAGUACAUAAGUUUGCAGGACAGGUCGUUACUUAUCGGAAUUGUAAUAA